rnacentral:rRNA from 1 species
GAGCGCAGGAAGCCGUCUGAACCCUUCGGGGGGACGACGGUGGAAUGAGCGGCGGACGGGUGAGUAACACGUAAAGAACCUGCCCAUAGGUCUGGGAUAACCACGAAAAAUCGGGGCUAAUACCGGAUGUGUCAUCGGACCGCAUGGUCCGCUGAUGAAAGGCGCUCCGGCGUCCCCCAUGGAUGGCUUUGCGGGGCAUUAGCUAGUUGGGGGGGUAACGGCCCACCAAGGCGACGAUGCAUAGCCGACCUGAGAGGGUGAUCGGCCACACUGGGACUGAAACACGGCCCAAACUCCUACGGGAGGCAGCAGUAGGGAAUCUUCCACAAUGGACGAAAGUCUGAUGGAGCAACGCCGCGUGAACGAUGAAGGCUUUCGGGUCGUAAAGUUCUGUUGUAAGGGAAAAACAAGUGCCGCAGGCAAUGGCGGCACCUUGACGGUACCUUGCGAAAAAGCCACGGCUAACUACGUGCCAGCAGCCGCGGUAAUACGUAGGUGGCAAGCGUUGUCCGGAAUUAUUGGGCGUAAAGCGCGCGCAGGCGGCCUCUUAAGUCUGAUGUGAAAGCCCCCGGCUCAACCGGGGAGGGCCAUUGGAAACUGGGAGGCUUGAGUAUAGGAGAGAAGAGUGGAAUUCCACGUGUAGCGGUGAGAUGCGUAGAGAUGUGGAGGAACACCAGUGGCGAAGGCGACUCUUUGGCCUAUAACUGACGCUGAGGCGCGAAAGCGUGGGGAGCAAACAGGAUUAGAUACCCUGGUAGUCCACGCCGUAAACGAUGAGUGCUAGGUGUUGGAGGGUUUCCGCCCUUCAGUGCUGAAG